rnacentral:rRNA from 1 species
GACGAACGCUGGCGGCGUGCCUAACACAUGCAAGUCGAACGGAGUUGCCCUUCGGGACAACUUAGUGGCGAACGGGUGAGUAACGCGUGAGGAACCUGCCUUUCAGUGGGGGACAACAGUUGGAAACGACUGCUAAUACCGCAUAAUGUAUCCGAGCGGCAUCGCUUGGAUACCAAAGAUUUAUUGCUGAAAGAUGGCCUCGCGUCUGAUUAGAUAGUUGGUGAGGUAACGGCUCACCAAGUCGACGAUCAGUAGCCGGUCUGAGAGGAUGAACGGCCACAUUGGGACUGAGAUACGGCCCAG